rnacentral:rRNA from 1 species
GCUCAGAUUGAACGCUGGCGGCAGGCCUAACACAUGCAAGUCGAGCGGUAGCACAGAGAGCUUGCUCUCGGGUGACGAGCGGCGGACGGGUGAGUAAUGUCUGGGAAACUGCCUGAUGGAGGGGGAUAACUACUGGAAACGGUAGCUAAUACCGCAUAACGUCGCAAGACCAAAGUGGGGGACCUUCGGGCCUCAUGCCAUCAGAUGUGCCCAGAUGGGAUUAGCUAGUAGGUGGGGUAACGGCUCACCUAGGCGACGAUCCCUAGCUGGUCUGAGAGGAUGACCAGCCACACUGGAACUGAGACACGGUCCAGACUCCUACGGGAGGCAGCAGUGGGGAAUAUUGCACAAUGGGCGCAAGCCUGAUGCAGCCAUGCCGCGUGUGUGAAGAAGGCCUUCGGGUUGUAAAGCACUUUCAGCGGGGAGGAAGGCGAUAAGGUUAAUAACCUUGUCGAUUGACGUUACCCGCAGAAGAAGCACCGGCUAACUCCGUGCCAGCAGCCGCGGUAAUACGGAGGGUGCAAGCGUUAAUCGGAAUUACUGGGCGUAAAGCGCACGCAGGCGGUCCUGUCAAGUUCGGAUGUGAAAUUCCCCGGGCUCAACCUGGGAACUGCAUUCGAAACUGGCAGGCUAGAGUCUUGUAGAGGGGGGUAGAAUUCCAGGUGUAGCGGUGAAAUGCGUAGAGAUCUGGAGGAAUACCGGUGGCGAAGGCGGCCCCCUGGACAAAGACUGACGCUCAGGUGCGAAAGCGUGGGGAGCAAACAGGAUUAGAUACCCUGGUAGUCCACGCCGUAAACGAUGUCGAUUUGGAGGUUGUGCCCUUGAGGCGUGGCUUCCGGAGCUAACGCGUUAAAUCGACCGCCUGGGGAGUACGGCCGCAAGGUUAAAACUCAAAUGAAUUGACGGGGGCCCGCACAAGCGGUGGAGCAUGUGGUUUAAUUCGAUGCAACGCGAAGAACCUUACCUGGUCUUGACAUCCACAGAACUUUCCAGAGAUGGAUUGGUGCCUUCGGGAACUGUGAGACAGGUGCUGCAUGGCUGUCGUCAGCUCGUGUUGUGAAAUGUUGGGUUAAGUCCCGCAACGAGCGCAACCCUUAUCCUUUGUUGCCAGCGGUUCGGCCGGGAACUCAAAGGAGACUGCCAGUGAUAAACUGGAGGAAGGUGGGGAUGACGUCAAGUCAUCAUGGCCCUUACGACCAGGGCUACACACGUGCUACAAUGGCAUAUACAAAGAGAAGCGACCUCGCGAGAGCAAGCGGACCUCAUAAAGUAUGUCGUAGUCCGGAUUGGAGUCUGCAACUCGACUCCAUGAAGUCGGAAUCGCUAGUAAUCGUAGAUCAGAAUGCUACGGUGAAUACGUUCCCGGGCCUUGUACACACCGCCCGUCACACCAUGGGGAGUGGGUUGCAAAAGAAGUAGGUAGCUUAACCUUCGGGAGGGCGCUUACCACUUUGUGAUUCAUGACUGGGGUGAUCAA